rnacentral:lncRNA from 1 species
UUCACUCUUUUGACUCUUUUCCUACUCAAGUUUUUCGAGCAUUUUAUAUGUGUUAGAGUCUUAAGUCUCGGCAAGUGCAUUUUUCUCUUUUGUUUUUCUUUUCUCUUUUUUUUUCUAUUUUUUUUUCUUUUAAAGGACAUACAUACUAUUUUUCUUUUUGUAUGAUCUCUUAUUAUGCACUUGCAUUCUCUUUCAAGAUUUCCACCCCAAACUUAGUUUUAUUGCACAUCUUGCAAUUCACACAAUCAUACC